CUCCUAGGGAGGCAGCAGUGGGGAAUAUUGGACAAUGGGGGCAACCCUGAUCCAGCCAUGCCGCGUGAGUGAUGAAGGCCUUCGGGUUGUAAAGCUCUUUCGCACGCGACGAUGAUGACGGUAGCGUGAGAAGAAGCCCCGGCUAACUUCGUGCCAGCAGCCGCGGUAAUACGAAGGGGGCAAGCGUUGUUCGGAAUUACUGGGCGUAAAGGGCGCGUAGGCGGUGCGCUAAGUCAGAUGUGAAAGCCCUGGGCUUAACCCGGGAACUGCAUUUGAUACUGGCGCGCUCGAAUCCGGGAGAGGUUGGUGGAAUUCCCAGUGUAGAGGUGAAAUUCGUAGAGAUUGGGAAGAACACCGGUGGCGAAGGCGGCCAACUGGACCGGUAUUGACGCUGAGGCGCGAAAGCGUGGGGAGCAAACAGGAUUAGAUACCCUGGUAGUCCACGCCGUAAACGAUGUGUGCUAGCCGUUGGGGCUCCUAGAGCCUCGGUGGCGUCGCUAACGCUUAAGC
rnacentral:rRNA from 1 species